rnacentral:rRNA from 1 species
AUUGAACGCUGGCGGCAGGCCUAACACAUGCAAGUCGAGCGGCGCGGCGGUCGGGUGAGUAAUAGCUAGGAAUCUGCCUGGUCGUGGGGGAUAACGUUAGGAAACGGACGCUAAUACCGCAUCCUCUCACAUGCGCCUGGGUCGGAUUAGCUAGUUGGAGAGGUAAGGGCUCACCAAGGCGACGAUCCGUAACUGGUCUGAGAGGAUGAUCAGUCACACUGGAACUGAGACACGGUCCAGACUCCUACGGGAGGCAGCAGUGGGGAAUAUUGGACAAUGGGCGAAAGCCUGAUCCAGCCAUGCCGCGUGUGUGAAGAAGGUUUUCGGAUUGUAAAGCACUUUAAGUGGGGAGGCGUUACCGACAGAAUAAGCACCGGCUAACUCGGUGCCAGCAGCCGCGGUAAUUC